rnacentral:rRNA from 1 species
GAUGAACGCUGGCGGCGUGCCUAAUACAUGCAAGUCGAGCGAACAGACGAGGAGCUUGCUCCUCUGACGUUAGCGGCGGACGGGUGAGUAACACGUGGAUAACCUACCUAUAAGACUGGGAUAACUUCGGGAAACCGGAGCUAAUACCGGAUAAUAUAUUGAACCGCAUGGUUCAAUAGUGAAAGACGGUUUUGCUGUCACUUAUAGAUGGAUCCGCGCCGCAUUAGCUAGUUGGUGAGGUAACGGCUUACCAAGGCAACGAUGCGUAGCCGACCUGAGAGGGUGAUCGGCCACACUGGAACUGAGACACGGUCCAGACUCCUCCGGGAGGCAGCAGUAGGGAAUCUUCCGCAAUGGGCGAAAGCCUGACGGAGCAACGCCGCGUGAGUGAUGAAGGUCUUCGGAUCGUAAAACUCUGUUAUUAGGGAAGAACAAAUGUGUAAGUAACUAUGCACGUCUUGACGGUACCUAAUCAGAAAGCCACGGCUAACUACGUG